GAGGUGUUCUAGGGUCAUCUUUAAAAGCUUUCACCUCAGCUUACAUUGUGAUGCCUGAGGUGUUUGUAGGAGUGCCCUGCGCCUGCCCUUCUCCCACCUAUCAGCUGCUCUCCGCAACAUGUGUCAGCAUGGCCCCGUCCUUUGAAAGCAUCUGAUCAUGAUAGCGGGGGACACUGUCAUCGUACCUGGAACGCUGGAAGAACCCACACUGGGGCGAGGAGAAAAAGAAGAGUUUAGACUGAAGUUGCUGUAGAAGUACUACAAUUACAGAGGCAACGCAUUCUUCAUAAAGAUUGAAAUGAAGAUUCAAAAUAAAAUGAGCUUUGCCCACAACGGUACAGAGAUGAUGACUGGCAAACAUUUGACAUGUUGAUAGGUUUCUGAAGUCAAGACCGAAAGUACAAGACAUUGUGCCAAAUUGUGAUUACAUACUACUAGCAAAAAAACAAAAGAGAUUUGCAACAGACUGUCCAUUUCUUUGAGAAGGAAGAAAUCAAAAGUACUCUGUGAGAAGUCAUCUUUAGCAAGCAGUAAGUCCAACAAUGCCACCUGCUCCAGUUUCUCCAAAGGAAAGUGACAAGAUAUUCCUCUUCACCCACUCUUUCUAAAUGAGUGUCUUCUUUCCCAUCAACUUAUAUUAACUGCCGAAGCCAGUAAGUAAUAAGAAUAAAGUAAUUACCCCAUUUUACUUGGAGACACAGUUAGUUGUAAAAAUGCCAAAGGGGGUUUAAAAAGUACUUGUAUUUUUUCCUUUGCAAAUUCUUAAUUUUUCCUUUUAAAUACGAAUUUACUCCUUCUGGGUUUCUAAGAUAAGGAGUCCAUACAAAAGAAAUUGAACACACAGGUAAUGUGCUAUUUUUGUAUCUUUUGUUGUUGUAUUUUUUUCCCCUGUCUACUCUUGAGUUGAAUAGCAUUAGAAAUACCAUGAGA